rnacentral:rRNA from 1 species
UACGAGUGCCCCGAGCGUUAUCCGGAAUUACUGGGCGUAAAGCGUGCGCAGGCGGUUAUGUAAGACAGAUGUGAAAUGCCCGGGCUUAACCUGGGAACUGCAUUUGUGACUGCAUGGCUAGAGUUUGGCAGAGGGGGGUAGAAUUCCACGUGUAGCAGUGAAAUGCGUAGAUAUGUGGAGGAACACCGAUGGCGAAGGCAGCCCCCUGGGUCAAGACUGACGCUCAUGCACGAAAGCGUGGGGAGCAAACAGG